rnacentral:rRNA from 1 species
AAUAGAUACCCGGGUAGUCCACGCCGUAAACGAUGUCGACUAGCCGUUGGGGACCUUCGUGUCCUUGGUGGCGUAGCUAACGCGCUAAGUCGACCGCCUGGGGAGUACGGUCGCAAGAUUAAAACUCAAAUGAAUUGACGGGGGCCCGCACAAGCGGUGGAGCAUGUGGUUUAAUUCGACGCAACGCGAAGAACCUUACCAGGUCUUGACAUCCAGAGAACUUUCCAGAGAUGGAUUGGUGCCUUCGGGAACUCUGAGACAGGUGCUGCAUGGCUGUCGUCAACUCGUGUCGUGAGAUGUUGGGUUAAGUCCCGUAACGAGCGCAACCCUUAUCCUUAUUUGCCAGCACGUCAUGGUGGGAACUUUAAGGAGACUGCCGGUGACAAACCGGAGGAAGGUGGGGAUGACGUCAAGUCAUCAUGGCCCUUACGACCUGGGCUACACACGUGCUACAAUGGAACGUACAGAGGGCUGCAACCCCGCGAGGGUGAGCUAAUCCCAGAAAACGUUUCGUAGUCCGGAUUGGAGUCUGCAACUCGACUCC